AACAUCAAGGGUUUGGUCCUAGCCCUGCUAUCAAUUUUUACUUAAUAUACACAUGCAAGUCUCCGCAUCCCUGUGAAAACGCCCUUAAAUCCCCCUUAGGGAUAAGGAGCUGGUAUCAGGCACAAAAUCCGCCCAAGACACCUAGCUAUGCCACACCCACAAGGGAUUUCAGCAGUGAUUAACAUUGAAUAUUAGCGCCAGCUUGAUUCAGUUAAAGUAAGAAGAGCCGGCAAAUCUGGUGCCAGCCGCCGCGGUUAUCCCACGUGGCUCAAAUUGAUGUCUAUCGGCGUAAAGCGUGAUUAAAGUUAUAUACCUCAUUGAAGUUAAAUUAAAACUAAGCCGUGACACGCUUGUUUUACAGAAACACACAAACGAAGGCUACUUCAAUCAAAACAACUUGAACACACGACAAUCGAGACACAAACUGGGAUUAGAUACCCCACUAUGCCCGAUCGUAAACUUUAAAUUACUUCCCCCAUCGCCAGAGAACUACGAGCAAAGCUUAAAACUCAAAGGACUUGACGGUACCCCAUAUCCCCCUAGAGGAGCCUGUCCUAUAAUCGAUAAUCCCCGUUAAACCUCACCACUCCUAGCUUCUCAGCCUGUAUACCUCCGUCGUCAGCUUACCACGUGAGCGAAACUUAGUGAGCCUAAUGUCCACACGCCCACACGUCAGGUCAAGGUGCAGUAAAUGAAGUGGCAAGAGAUGGGCUACACUUUCUAAAAUAGAAUACACGAAAGACCACAUAUGAAAACUGGUCAAAAGGCGGAUUUAGUAGUAAAAGAAAACCAGAAUGUUUUUUUAAAUUCGGCACUGGGGUGUGUACACACCGCCCGUCACCCUCUUCAAAGCUCAACCCUAGUAUCUAACCACCUAGUGCCCCUCAGAAGAGGCAAGUCGUAACAUGGUAAGUAUACCGGAAGGUGUGCUUGGAAACAAAA
rnacentral:ncRNA from 1 species